rnacentral:rRNA from 1 species
GGAAAAGAAACCAACAGGGAUUGCCCUAGUAACGGCGAGUGAAGCGGCAACAGCUCAAAUUUGAAAUCUGGCCCCCUUUGGGGGUCCGAGUUGUAAUUUGCAGAGGGUGCUUUGGCGGAGGCGGCGGUCUAAGUUCCUUGGAACAGGACGUCACAGAGGGUGAGAAUCCCGUACGUGGUCGCUAGCCCCCGCCGUGUAAAGCCCCUUCGACGAGUCGAGUUGUUUGGGAAUGCAGCUCUAAAUGGGAGGUAAAUUUCUUCUAAAGCUAAAUACUGGCCAGAGACCGAUAGCGCACAAGUAGAGUGAUCGAAAGAUGAAAAGCACUUUGGAAAGAGAGUCAAAAAGCACGUGAAAUUGUUGAAAGGGAAGCGCUUGCAGCCAGACUUGCCUGUAGUUGCUCAGCCGGGCUCUCGCCCGGUGCACUCUUCUGCGGGCAGGCCAGCAUCAGUUCGGGCGGCCGGAUAAAGACCUCUGUCACGUACCUCUCUUCGGGGUGGACUUAUAGGGGAGGUGAAAUGCGGCCAGUCCGGACUGAGGUCCGCGCAUCUGCUAGGAUGCUGGCGUAAUGGCUGUAAGCGGCCCGUCUUGAAACACGGACCAAGGAGUCUAACAUCUAUGCGAGUGUUUGGGUGUCAAGCCCGAGCGCGCAAUGAAAGUGAACGGAGGUGGGAACCCCUCGGGGCGCACCAUCGACCGAUCCUGAAGUCUUCGGAUGGAUUUGAGUAAGAGCAUAGCUGUUGGGACCCGAAAGAUGGUGAACUAUGCUUGAAUAGGGUGAAGCCAGAGGAAACUCUGGUGGAGGCUCGCAGCGGUUCUGACGUGCAAAUCGAUCGUCAAAUUUGGGCAUAGGGGCGAAAG